AGUGUGGCGGGUCUCUCAGGAACGCAUAUUUUCUUUUCGGAUUCUCCGAGAAGGGGUGGAGUAACAGGAUGGGAACCGGAUUGGUUGCAGUGUGGCACAGACCUGGAACCUUCCUGAAAGAGGUUGGGGCAGGCAGUGACUGUUCAGACGUCCAAUCUCUUUGGGACACCUCUUCAGCGCUGUCUUCCCUGCCUCUGCCUUUAGGACGAGUCUCAAACACCAACAAACGCAAGGCACGUCCCCCCUCUCAGGUCAGCUGCGAAGGCAUGGGAGCAAGAGAGAGCCUCUCCCUCCUUCUACUUAGAGUUUUUGUUUGUUUGUUUGUUUGUUUCAAAUAUUAAUGGAAGAUAAAACAACACGGAUUUGUCACCUCCUAGCGAAGGGGAAGCCACCGCCACCACACCCCUCAAGCAUGCCCGGGCACUCCUGGGGACAAUCGGACGUGGCAGGAGUUGGCAUGCCCAAGAUGAAGCUGGGAAGGAUGACCCAGAGUGGAAGGCGUGGGCUGGGGCUCCAGGUCUCAGCUCUCGCCAGCGUCGGACCACACAGCUUUGCCAGCUUUGCACCUUGCCUUUCCUUCUUGUGAGGCAUCUGGGACCGUCCUAUCAAGGCGCUUCAAAGGUGGAAGGACAGAGUGCUGGGGACAAGAACGUACCAGGCGCCCAGAAGAUUCCACUAGCGCGGCCAAACACUAAGACCAGGUUUCCUCCCUGCGUGGUGGUCGUUGGUUGUGCACGGGCUGCGCAGGAAGACUGAAUUCCUGAGAAAUGGAAACUGCAUGAGAAAAAUCAAAUAAACUUAGAGGCCUGUGAAGCUCUCCCUCUUGUCGCUCUGGGACCGCUCUAAGCUGAGCUACAUCUCAGAUACCUUCUCCCCCUGGAGGAUGGGCCUUUCUCAGGCACGAAGUGCGUGUGCCCCACUGGGCUCUUGCCCACAAGAGCAGUCUGAACCCUGGAGAGGCUGACACCGAGGUGUCUUGAAGGAAGCAGGCACACUCUCAUGCUUCCCCACCUAGGGUUUUGCCUUUCUUCUAAUAUUUAGGAUUCCCAGUGAAGGGUACUCCACACACACCCUCUCCCUACCCCUAAUCCCACCCCAUUGUGUCUGAUCCCACAAUUACUCCCAGGGUAUCUAUACUCAACAGCUUUUGCGCUCAAAGAACAUUGUCGUCUGCAGGGAACGGGUGGAGCCCUUCUCAGAAGCUCCCGGGGGCGAGUCCAUUUUAAGAAUGAGUUGAAGUAGGAAAGAAAACACAGAUGCUGUCUUUGCAUUCGACAUUCUAUCACCAGCAAGAGAAUAUGUAACUCCUGUUCUUUCCUUCAUUAUUCCAUGAAUUACCUUUUUUCUCUAGGGAUCUACCAGUUGGUGAUUUAGGGCUUUUAAAUAUUAUGCUUGUUAUGUAUUUAACAAAAUGCAAUAUGUCUACUGGUGGCAUUGUUUCCUUGGGAAAUUAGAAAAGUAGAAACUACAUACUCUAGUUCCUAGGUGGUCUCUGGAAAGUUGGCCUCAUGCUGGUUGGCUAAAUAAUAAGUGUUUAGGAUUUGAAAGGAAGAAAGAGAGCUGAAGGCCUGGUGACAGAGUUUGUGAGAAACAGAAGAUGUAACACUCUGGCAUUUGUUGAGGGGAUGAGGUAGAACUUUUGAAAAAUAAGCUAUUCUAUUCAGUUUUGUGCAAAUUUAUUGCAGUUGCUUCAUAGAGGAAGAAUAAUGUUUAGAAUGGAAUAAUUGCAAAUGCUAGUGAUGAAAUCUAAAGGAAACCUCUACUCAUAGUUAACUGAAAGUAUUUUUGUUGUUGUUGUUUAAAUACUUAUCUCAUUGCUUUCUUUCCUUUGCAGAAUUAUUUUCCUAUAAUAGUUUCCAUUAGGUGUCAGUCUGAACUGGUUCUUACUUAAGUUAGGGGUGAAAAUGUUCCAUCAUCACACCUUUUAAGAUAAGAAAGUGGGAAAAAUUAAAGCUGUAUUAAGUUGAAAUUACUGGAGUUAAUUUUUAUUGUUAAAGGCAGCUUUUUUCUUCCCAGAAAAAAUAAUUUUAAAUUAUGUCGCCACUAGUCAAUGACUGCUUUUGCCCUGUCACUGUCCAUAGCCAUGAUUAAAGAAGUACAAAAU
rnacentral:lncRNA from 1 species